rnacentral:rRNA from 1 species
AACGAACGCUGGCGGCAGGCCUAACACAUGCAAGUCGAGCGCUCUCUUCGGAGGGAGCGGCGGACGGGUGAGUAACGCGUGGGAAUAUGCCCUUCUCUAAGGAAUAGCCACUGGAAACGGUGAGUAAUACCGUAUACGCCUUCGGGGAAAGAUUUAUCGGAGAAGGAUUAGCCCGCGUUAGAUUAGAUAGUUGGUGGGUAACGGCCUACCAAGUCUACGAUCUAUAGCUGGUUUUAGAGGACGAUCAGCCACACUGGGACUGAGACACGGCCCAGACUCCUACGGGAGGCAGCAGUGGGGAAUCUUAGACAAUGGCAAAGCCUGAUCUAGCCAUGCCGCGUGAGUGAUGAAGGCCCUAGGGUCUAAAGCUCUUUCGCCAGGGAUGAUAAUGACAGUACCUGGUAAAACCCCGGUAACUCCGUGCCCAGCAGCCGCGGUA